rnacentral:rRNA from 1 species
UUAGGGCGGACGGGUGGAGUAAACGCGUGGAAAACCUAGCCGUAUACUGGGGGAGUUAACACUUAGAAAUAGGUGCUAAUACCGCAUAAGCGCACAGCUUCGCAUGAAGCGGUGUGAAAAAACUCUUGGUGGUAUACGAUGGUUCCGCGUCUGAUUAGCUAGUUGGUGGGGUAAUGGCCUACCAAGGCAACGAUCAGUAGCCGGCCUGAGAGGGUGAACGGCCACAUUGGGACUGAGACACGGCCCAAACUCCUACGGGAGGCAGCAG